rnacentral:rRNA from 1 species
GGGUGCGUAAUACGUGAGAAUCUGCCCUUAGGAGAAGAAUAACUGCUGGAAACGGCUGCUAAAUCUUCAUAUGUCGAGAGAUGAAAUAGCUUAGGCUGCCUAAGGAUGAGCUCACGCCUGAUUAGCUAGUUGGUGAGGUAAUGGCUCACCAAGGCCACGAUCAGUAGCUGGUUUGAGAGAACGAUCAGCCACACUGGGACUGAGACACGGCCCAGACUCCUCCGGGAGGCAGCAGUGAGGAAUUUUCCGCAAUGGGCGAAAGCCUGACGGAGCAAUACCGCGUGAGGGAUGAAGGAUUUUGGUCUGUAAACCUCUUUUCUCAAGAAAGAAGUUCUGACGGUACUUGAGGAAUAAGCAUCGGCUAACUCCGUGCCAGCAGCCGCGGUAAUACGGGGGAUGCAAGCGUUAUCCGGAAUCAUUGGGCGUAAAGCGCCUGUAGGUUGUUUAAUAAGUCUGUUGUUAAAGACUAGGGCUUAACCCUAGAAAAGCAAUGGAAACUACUAGACUAGAGUAUGGCAGGGGUA